AUUACUGGUCGUCAAUUCUGUUGUCAACAACGUGUUACAGCGACCGAGAGCCCUUGAAGUGGAAGUUUUGGAACUUCUUUGAAGCAUCGUCCGCCAUUUUUCAAGCAAACGUUCCGGCAAAACAAGUGUGCAAGAAACGGAAAUGACGUCAAUUGAAGAAGUAUUUAGAUCCAGGAUGUCCCUAGUCCUAGUACUGGCCCUCAAUUCACAAUUGCGGUUAUUUGAAGUUUUCCUUAGGCCGUAAAUGAGACCUGUUAAUGUUGUAGUGUUGGAUUUAUUAUAAGUUUGAGCGUUCGCUGUCUACGACCUCAACAGCCCGAUGAAAUAUUCAUACAGAGCAGAAAAAAUAAAGUAUGUUAAGAUCG